CUCGAGGGGGUGGGUCCCUCAGCCUGAAUUGCGAGAGGGCGCAGUCCAGGCCGAGGGACCCCAAUGGUGCACG
rnacentral:pre_miRNA from 1 species